UGCUCAUCCGAUCUGUCACUUCAAUCACCAAGUCGGGAAUAUUCAACUAAAUUUUACAACAUACUUCAAGGGAACUUAAUCUGAAAGUGUCAGGAACUGAUUCAUAAGGAGGAACAUUGAUAGGAGGAACAUUGAUUGCAGAUACGUCGGUAAAUAGGUACCAUUAACCCUAUGCCAAUUUGAUGCUGUGUUCCUGAUUUUGAUCCUGAGUUCCUGAAUUUGAUCCUGUCAUCCUGAUCCCGCAACUGUGUUCCCGAUUCCGUUCCCGUCUUCGACGUCGUCAUCUUUCCUGUUCCCAUACCCGCAGCAUCGUUGUCCAUCUCUUCAUCUCGUCUGCAACGGCCGAAUCAGUACAUCCACUCGAAUCGCGAAUAGUCUACCGCGCUGUAUGUAAGUGGCCACAGUACUAACAAUUUCUAACUAACCUCCUUCUUCCCAACCCUUAAUGUCCCAUUUAUUUAGAUUAACAAGUUAAGGCUUUUAAAGUGUAUUUUAGCUUAAGGUGUAUUUUGAUAUGAUUGUAUGUUGAAGAGAGGACAGAGAUCUUCUGGAUUAUUGAUACUAUUUCCAUGACAUUGUUUGAUAAUAAAUACUGUUAGAAGAGUAGUUGAUACAGGUCAGUGAUUGAUAAAUAAACAUAUAUGACACCUUAAAUAUUAUAUCGUGUCCCAGCGCUUUUAUUCUUUGACUUUAUUUUAAAUCGGUGGUCUAUUUGAACUAACCCCUCCCCCGAGUGAAAGUCAUAGCUAGCGGACCAAUACAAAAACCUGAUUUCACUCGGAGCUCGAUUCUACUAUUUCAUUAUAAUAGAUGACGGCGUGGUGUGGGCGGUUAGACGGAACCCACAACCUUAUUUCCGCGUUAUCAGCACGAUUUUAAAAGCUCUCCAAAUUCAUAAGAAACUUUUUUUUUUAAAUAUUAAUAAUUGCAUGUUUCCAGAAAGACUGGUAUGAUUUUCCUGGUCAAGUUCAGCGCUUGGGCAUGAAUUUAUCUAUUACGUACAUUCCUUAAUAGUGACCUUGUUUCCUAUUUGUUGAUAAUGUUUGAUAUUAUUUGAUUUGUGGUAUUAUAUUUCAUGUGUGCAGAGGAAUAGUUAAUUGGUUCGGAAAUUAAUGAUAUAUCAUUUGGUUUUAUCCUGAUUUAUUGCAAAUCAUUUUCUCAUAGCAAUCAGGUUUACGUAGGUCGUAGCCAUGGGCAGAAUAAGUUACCUUUUCCUUUUUAUGUUUGUUUCUUUGAAUAUGUUUGGCGUGCCUCCGGUUGAUAGACUUUGUUGUCAGUUGUGUGAGUGUGGAGGUCAUGAUGAAAAAGAAAAAGAUGACACAAUAGUUGAGAUGUAUAUUUUGAAAAACUUAAAAAGUUUAGUAUUUCCAAGCCGAGCAAAACUUAAGAUUUAAACGGUCCCCGUUCGGAUAGAUUAUAGCAAGCACUGACUUAUUAUCCUAUUUUUUGGCUUUUGAUUUAUUUAAGGUAAUUAAAAUAUGUUGUAGUAACAUUAUGGCAAUUCCAAAAGUUUUAAAUUACAAUAAUAUUAUUUUUCCCUGUAAGUGACAUGUAAGUUUUGUUAAACCCAAGUAAUUCAUCAUAGUAUUGUCAAAGAUCAGGGAUUUUUAGUUGUGCCAGGGAGAAGGAAUAAUUGCGCAAAUUAGUUUUGUUUUGAGGAGUUGAGGAGGGCACUCGCUCUGACUUAUUUAUAUUUUAAGUUGAUAGAAAGAAUUGUUUUUAGGGAACACAUGAUAGUUUGCUACUAACAAAUUAGAGAUUUCGGGUAUUGUUGUGAUCAAGGUAAUCGUAGGUACUGAGACAGAAAGUAUAAGAAGGCUUAGAACAGUGGACCAAAUAAAGAUGUGAGAGAAGAUUUUCAUUAAAUUAGAUGUAGCAUUUAAGUUCCAGCUAGGGUGGAGUUCAAGGAACUUCCACGUAUUCCCCUUAUCAAGAGCUCAUUGCUGGCUUUAGUUUCUGCAACGAAAUAAGUCGUAAAUAGGCAUGAUGCAGAUAAGGUAGGAGUAGGCUGUUUUAAAGUAGUUUAGUAUCGGAGAUCAUCAUGUUACGGUUAGUCUAAAAGAAAGAUAACGUUGCACAUGGAUGAGUUUUUUUUUUUUUUUAAAUAGUUUUGUUAGUAUUUUCUUGAGGAAAAUAUUGAGAUGCUACCUUUGUAGGAGCGUCCAGUCGUAUAUAUUUUUAUAUGUGUAGUUGAAAGUCUGAUCAAUGUUUUAAAGUGGUCCACUAUUGCUUUGCCUUUUGUGCUUAAAUUUCUAGCCUGCUAGUUGCUGAUAUCACACAUUUAAUUCAAUGGGAUAUAGAAUAUUUUCUUUCUGGGAAGUAUAUCUUUUGAGAGUAAAACUAAAAGUAUUUUUGUUUUGAAAAAUUGUUAGAUAUGAAUUUUGGUAGAAAUUGUUGGAUAAGGGAAAAUUUGAUAGAGAAUAUAUUUAAUUUGCCAUUUCGUUACUUCAGCAUAUACAACUGUUAAAUGUGAGAAAAUGUUCGGAUUUUGAUUUGUUUUUUUGUUUUUUGUUUUUUUUUGGUUAAAAAUUUGGAAAUAAUUAACCUAGGCCCCAUCAUAGAUUAUGAAGUAAUUGCAAGGACUGUCCCAUGGCAAAAUGAUAAGGGAGAUGACUUGAUCCCGAGUUUAGGUAUUAUUUAGCAACUUGUACUAAAUAAUGAAGACUGUGUGGUGAUAUAUUUGUUGAUGUUGUUUUUGUUGAUGAUGUUGAAACAGUGAUAAUGAUGAUGAAGUGGAAGGUGGUGUUACUCCGUCCCCUACCCGUCCAUGUGAGCAGCAAGAGGCCGCCUGAAUUGAAGAGGAAGACUGUCCUCCGAGACGGUCACAAAGGUGCCAGCGCCCUGACCGGAUAGAUUUAUUCCAUUAGAGACAAGUGUACUGGACAAAAGUGCUGAUUUUGAAUUUCAAUUAGGCCAGUCAAUUCCAGAUUGCACAGGUUCUGAAAUUAGAGAUGAUGGUUCUGUUACUUCUGUAAAUACAGAUGAUAUUGCGACUGAAGAUAAUGUAAGAAAUUAUGCUCCUGUAGAAGUUGACCCCUCUCCUGUCCCUUCAGGUGACGAGCAAGAGACCGCCUCUGUUGAAGAGGAGGACUGUCCACCGAGACAGUCAAAAAGAUGUUCUCGUCAACCUGAUCGGUUAACGUAUUAUCAAAGUCAAAUUGUCCAACCAAUUGUUAGGAAUAAAUACAAUUGUAUGAUGUUGUAUGGACUGCUGAUGAUGCUGCUUUUGAAGUUUGUGUUUGUUUUGUUUUCACCAGUUGAGAUUGUUGUGAGCGUGAUGUUGAUAUCGAUGAUUCUUAUAAUGUCAUCUUUUCCCAUAGUAAGAGAACAGUUAGCCUUCUUUUUUUUUAGAUCAGAAAUUGUGCCUACAUAUAGGAUACAACCUGAAUUCUUUAAGGGGAAUAGGACUUGUUAUGAUAUUGUUAAUGACAAAAACUUGGGAGAAUGAAGUCUUUUUCAUUUAUAAAUUGCUAUUCCUCUGAAUAACAUGAUAUUUAGCUCAAUAUUGUAAUAAUAUAGAUACUCUACUUUGUUGAUUUAUUGUCUGAACAUGGCUGGAGCAUGUCUCACUAUGCCAACCAAACCAGAUUGGUUUGAUUUAAGUUUUAGACUUUGUCAUUAUUUUGUUGGUUGAUCUAUCAGUUGAUCAUUUCUUUCAUAAAUAAUGUCCAAUAUACUGCGGACAUUAUUAUUUAUUUUGUUUUAUCAACGCACGUUAAAUGAUUGGUAUCAUUGAAGGGUGCAUAAAGGAUACCCUAGUUUCACAUGAAUUUAGUGAAUAGGUUACUUUUAAAAGUAAGCCAUAUUUAUUUUGUUUUGUUCACGUUUGAGUUUGAAGAUUAGGAAUAUGAUUGAAUAUUCCAUAGAUUACUAUAAUGAAAUUAUAAGGGCAGUUCUGGAAAAGAGAGAUCGAUGUCAAAGACCAUUUUACAUUUCACUUUUUAUUCAAAUUUGAUUGUAGUUUGGAAGAAAUGAUGAUUUGACCGUAUUAAUAUCUCAAGGCACUUUUAGUGUGCUUAUGUUGUAUUUAAUAUUAAGGCGAACUUAAAUAUAGUUCCGUUUGUUUUAUUUUGAUUGUUUAAACUUGUUACCUGUUACAUCAGAGUCACAUGAGUUGAUAGUCAGAUUUCUGAUAAUUAUUAUAUUGAAACUUAAUUGAAUUUUUGCAUUCGAUAUUUAAACCAUGUUUGAUUUGAAAUUGCUGUUGUAGUAAGACAAAGUAAUAAUUAAUCUGAGUGGAAGAUAUCAAACCAAUUCACACAUGUGGAGUGUGGAAGAAAUUAUUUUGGAUUGUAAUAAUUUGUACUGGUGUGUUUUCUGUGUAUACUUUCUUAUAUUCUAAGUAUAUAUUUUGUAUUUGAUAAACAAAAUUUAAGCAAGGUCACUAGUAAAAUAAGGUGUCUUAGUAGGUGUCAUGAAAGAUUUGUGAUAUUAUGUACAGCUAUUGUUUUAUUGGUGUUCAAUAUCAAUUCAAAAUUACUAUUGCAUAAUUUUAGAAUUAUUAUUGGGAAUGGCGCGGACGCCAUUCUGGUGGCAGGGGGGAAGGUGUAACAUGGUGGAAUAUUGCUCAUGUAUAGUCCUUCUCUCUUCUUGUUGUAUUCUCUCUUUCUCUCUCUCUCUCUCUCUCUAUCUUUAUCUUUGUCUCUUUCUGCUGUAUCUUUCUUUGUCUUAAUUUGUUAUAGAUGUAUUUAUAAAAUGUGCUGGCAUGUCUAGUUGAAGCUAUCUAUUGAAGCUAUCCUGUUCCCACACUGGGAUAUAGCCUUUAUGACCCUAUUGCCAUUCACAGUAUUAAUCCAUCCUGUUCGAUACAAUACUAGACUUUAAUGCCAUUCAUAAAUCUGUAAUAAUAGAGAUUAAGCUCUAUGAAAGGGGAUUUAGAUAUCAGACGGGCUCUUUGUGGUCAUUCAUGCUUUGUGACUAUUCUUAGAAAUAUGCUCUUUGAAGAUCACCUCAUAGGACUGUGUCUUGGGCCAUGAGUGGUGACCUUGAACCAAUAAGAGUAGAGUUUUAGAUUAGACCCCUUCCCCCUUUUUAAAGUAAUGACCAAUAAAAUGAUCGGAGGAAAAGUCGAGUAUGAAUGUUUAAUGAGGUAUAAAAGUAGUUUGCAUGAAUGUUUUGAUCACUUGGCUCCACCCCGACUUGGUCUCCUCUACCUGUACCCCUGUCCUCCCAUCUCCCUCAAGCUGUCCCUGAACUAACAACUAAUUGCUGCAUGUGAAAAUCAACAAGUUCUGGACUCUCAAAGUUAACGAAGUACAGCGUUUUCCAGAAAUCGUUCAAGAAAGCCAAGUCACUUCAAUCACCAAGUCGGGAAUAUUCAACUAAAUUUUACAACAUACUUCAAGGGAACUUAAUCUGAAAGUGUCAGGAACUGAUUCAUAAGGAGGAACAUUGAUAGGAGGAACAUUGAUUGCAGAUACGUCGGUAAAUAGGUACCAUUAACCCUAUGCCAAUUUGAUGCUGUGUUCCUGAUUUUGAUCCUGAGUUCCUGAAUUUGAUCCUGUCAUCCUGAUCCCGCAACUGUGUUCCCGAUUCCGUUCCCGUCUUCGACGUCGUCAUCUUUCCUGUUCCCAUACCCGCAGCAUCGUUGUCCAUCUCUUCAUCUCGUCUGCAACGGCCGAAUCAGUACAUCCACUCGAAUCGCGAAUAGUCUACCGCGCUGUAUGUAAGUGGCCACAGUACUAACAAUUUCUAACUAACCUCCUUCUUCCCAACCCUUAAUGUCCCAUUUAUUUAGAUUAACAAGUUAAGGCUUUUAAAGUGUAUUUUAGCUUAAGGUGUAUUUUGAUAUGAUUGUAUGUUGAAGAGAGGACAGAGAUCUUCUGGAUUAUUGAUACUAUUUCCAUGACAUUGUUUGAUAAUAAAUACUGUUAGAAGAGUAGUUGAUACAGGUCAGUGAUUGAUAAAUAAACAUAUAUGACACCUUAAA